rnacentral:rRNA from 1 species
CCUACGGGUGGCUGCAGUGGGGGAUAUUGCACAAUGGGGGAAACCCUGAUGCAGCGACGCCGCGUGUGGGAGACGGGCCUCUUGAUUUUUAACCACUGUCCCCAGGGGCGAAGGUGACGGUACCUUGGGAGGAAGCUCCGGCAAACUACGGGCCAGCAGCCGCGGUAAUACGUAGGGAGCGAGCGUUGUCCGGAAUUACUGGGUGAAAAGGGGGCGUAGGCGGGACUGCAAGUUGGGUGUCAAAUCUACCGGCUCAACCGGUAGCCGCACUCAAAACUGCAGUUCUUGAGUGAAGUAGAGGCAGGCGGAAUUCCUAGUGUAGCGGUGAAAUGCGUAGAUAUUAGGAGGAACACCAGUGGCGAAGGCGGCCUGCUGGGCUUUUACUGACGCUGAGGCUCGAAAGUGUGGGGAGCAAACAGGAUUAGAUACCCUGGUAGUC